rnacentral:rRNA from 1 species
ACGCKGGCGGUUCGCCUAACACAUGCAAGUCGAAACGGUAACAGGAUGUGCUUGCACAUCGCUGACGAGUGGCGGACGGGUGAGUAAUGCUUGGGAACUUGCCUUUGCGAGGGGGAUAACAGUUGGAAACGACUGCUAAUACCGCAUAAUGUCUACGGACCAAACGGGGCUUCGGCUCCGGCGCAKAGAGAGGCCCAAGUGAGAUUAGCUAGUUGGUAAGGUAACGGCUUACCAAGGCGACGAUCUCUAGCUGUUCUGAGAGGAAGAUCAGCCACACUGGGACUGAGACACGGCCCAGACUCCUACGGGAGGCAGCAGUGGGGAAUAUUGCACAAUGGGGGAAACCCUGAUGCAGCCAUGCCGCGUGUGUGAAGAAGGCCUUCGGGUUGUAAAGCACUUUCAGUUGUGAGGAAAAGUUAGUAGUUAAUACCUGCUAGCCGUGACGUUAACAACAGAAGAAGCACCGGCUAACUCCGUGCCAGCAGCCGCGGUAAUACGGAGGGUGCGAGCGUUAAUCGGAAUUACUGGGCGUAAAGCGCACGCAGGCGGUUUGUUAAGCUAGAUGUGAAAGCCCCGGGCUCAACCUGGGAUGGUCAUUUAGAACUGGCAGACUANAGUCUUGGAGAGGGGAGUGGAAUUCCAGGUGUAGCGGUGAAAUGCGUAGAUAUCUGGAGGAACAUCAGUGGCGAAAGCGACUCCCUGGCCAAAGACUGACGCUCAUGUGCNAAAGUGUGGGUAGCGAACAGGAUU